UCCGAACCGGGGUCCUCUGGCGUCCCAGGCCAGCUCUUAACCAAUGUGCCACUCGGCUGGCCUUCAAGGUGACUUUUCAAUUCACAGCUUUUGCAAGAAAAAUGACAUCACCCAACACGAGCCUUCCGGAAAACCAGGGCCGGGAGGUCCCGGCAGCUAAAGAGCCAGCUCCAAUCUGCCCUGCAGUCCACCAGGAGCAGAGCUGAUCCCCCCACAGCCUGACCGUGGCAGUCACAGCUUGUUAAAGGACAGAGGAAACUGAGUGAAGAGCCCCGGGGGCUCUUCAGACUUCCAGACCUCCCACUGGAAGGAGCAUCUUGUCCACAGGGGUAGGCGUGGGGGAAGGAAAUCACAGGAGCCAAAAUGCAAACAAGCGCAGGGCCAGCGCCAGGGACAACGCCCAGCCCAGGACCAGCACCUGGGGACAACACCCAUGCAUCCAUACAAUUCUGCAUGUAUACAUAAACGAGAUCUUUAUUUGGUUCUAAAACCACAGCCUUUCUUCCUUUCCAUUCUGUGGCUUACACUGUGCCUCUGCCACCGGUGCACGCAGCAGCACACGUGCCCUCCAAGAAAACCCAUGCACACGGCGUGCCAUCCUUCCCGACAUACUCUCAGCAUCUGCAGUAACUGCACAAGCCCAGCUGUGUGCAGCCUGGGCACACACAGCAAGCUGACCGCUGGCUUACUGCCACUCACACCACCUUGCCUCCCGCGGUCAGCAGGACCUCCCUGGCGGGCAGCCUCCGCCUGGCCUGUGCAGCCCAGAGGCACACUUGGACACUCGCUGCCUGAGCGAUGCUUGGUGUCCAUCUGUAAUGCAGUGAGGAUUUGCAUGCAGCUACUCUCUCUUGAGGGCGUUCCCAUGGCCCCACCUUCCUGCCACCACAGGCAGGGCUGCACCUGCGUCACUGCGUGUGCGUCAGGUAUGCACGCUUCUUCUGCGGGAUGUUUACUUCUGCCAAGUGCUCUCCAUGCCGUCCUUCUGGGCAUUUCUAACAACAGGAGCACAUUUUCCUUUGAUGGGUUUUGCUUUUGGUGUCAAAUCUAUGAACUCUGUCUAACUCCAGGUUACUAAGACUCUCCUAUGUUUUUAUCUAAAGGUUUUAUUGUUAAUAUUUUAUUUUUAGACCCAUGACCGAUUUUGUGUUAAAUUUUGCAUAAGUUUUAGAUUGAUUCUUUUUUUUUUUUUGCAUAGGAAUGUCCAGUUGCUGCAAACUCUUUGUCUUUUCUCUCUCGACUGCCUCUGCACUUCUGUCAAACACCCAUCAGCAGUAUUUGUGUGGGUCCCUUCUGUGCUCUCUAUUCUGUCUGUCCCGUUGGUCUGCUCGGAUACAUCCCCCUUCACCAAAACCCCGCUGCCUUGAUUACUGCAGCUCGAGGUGAAAAAGCAGAAAGGGAGAGGCAGAUAAUGUGUGACAUAAACAGUUAACCUCGACGCAUCGACCUUAGGUGAUGCUAAAUCGAGCAAUGGGAAGUCGUUGAGUCAUCUGGUUGGCCUUUCCACUGCAAAAUGCAAGUUCCUGACUUCAGACAGCAUCCCCACCCAUAUUAACCCAUGCCAGUUCACUGGGUCCCUAGCAUCUUUUAAAAAAAUUAUUUAUGUAUUUUUAAAGUUACAAGUAAUAAAUUAAUAGUGUCAUCAUUAAAUAUUUAAACAAUUAGAGUAAAACAGAAACACUUCAAAGGUGGCCUCCACAUCUGGAUUCUUUCCACCCUCCAGGCGGGCCUCUGAGGAUGGUCGUUCAGGCCUGCUGUGCUGACUCUUCUCUGUACAUGUAUGCAACAGUUAGUAUGAACCACGUGUCUAUGUACACACACGCAGUUUUCCCAUCCCAGUAAGACACACAUCCUGUCCUGGGACAUGGCUUCGUCAUCGUCCAUGGAGGAAGCAGAGCUGCCCUGCUGUUUUCAUCGGCACACAGUGCUCCAUGUCACACAAUUACCUGAACUUCACUUGCUGAGUUAGGCUUCCAGCUGGUGGCUCUCGGCUCCACCUGUGCCGGCCGCUGAACUCCAGGGUGGGAAGCCCACAACUACACUCCCGGACACUCGCUUCUGGCCAGGCCCACCCAUGGGGCGCACUAGGAGUUACAAGUGGGGGGAAAGGAGGAGCCAUGCUUUCUGCUUCUGGCAGUGCUCCCUGCUGGGGGACAGUGCCUGCAGGGGACAGCAUGGCCCUGGCCUGGGUGGGAGUCCUGCUCCCCGGCCUUCCUUCAGAACGGCAGUGGCUGUGGGCUCCUGGGUGCUGGGCGCCCCUCAGCUUGGGUAGUGCCACCUCCUGCGUCUCUCUCCUCCAGCCCUUCCAGCCUUUUAAUGACCAAGUUCCCCACUAGAUUACUCUCUGCUUGUCACAUCUGAGGGCGUCCGUCCUCAGGAGUGGACACUGGCACACAGUGGCCAUUCUCCUUCUUCUGGAUAUUGACGUUGUUUCCAAUUCUUUUCUGAUACAAGCAAUGAGGUAAUGAACAUCCUUCUGUGUACUUCCUCGGGACAGACACCCAAAACCAGAAUUGCUAAUAAAAACACACAGGUGUCCUAAAUUUUGAUAGAUACUGCAAGGUGUCCUCCAGUGAGCUAGUAUAAAUUUGUAUUCCUAUCUUCACUGGAUGCUAAUACCAAGUUCCCUAAACUCUCACCAACCAUAAACAAUGAGUCUUUAAAAUUUUAACUGAUGAACCAAAGGCAAUGUAUUCUUGUUGCUUGAAUGUGCAUUUUCUGAGGACCAGUAGAACUGAGGGCCUUGCAAAGUCUCUUGGCCAGUUAUAUUUCUCUCGUGUGCACCAGGACUUCAUAUUCAUUGUCUAGCUCAGGGGUUGGCAAACUUUUGAGAUGGAAGAGCCGCCAGGGGGCAGCAAACUGCGACUCGUGAACUGUCACU